rnacentral:rRNA from 1 species
CCCUUGAGAGCCGUGGAAGACGACCACGUGGAUAGGCUGGAUGUGCAAGCGCGGUAACGCGCUGAGCUGACCAGUACUAAUCGCUCGAUCGGCUUGAUCGCUCUCAUGAU